UGGCGAACGGGUGAGUAACGCGUGGGGAACCUGCCUCAAAGAGGGGGACAACAGUUGGAAACGACUGCUAAUACCGCAUAAGCCCACGGGUCGGCAUCGACCUGAGGGAAAAGGAGCAAUCCGCUUUGAGAUGGCCUCGCGUCCGAUUAGCUAGUUGGUGAGGUAACGGCCCACCAAGGCGACGAUCGGUAGCCGGACUGAGAGGUUGAACGGCCACAUUGGGACUGAGACACGGCCCAG
rnacentral:rRNA from 1 species